CAGGAAGUAAGUCUCACAUGUUUAGUUAUGGCCAACAGAGACAGAGGUUGGAUCAUUAUUUUGAAUCUGCAUCCAUCCUUCUUUGUUGCUUGAUGGAAAGCAUUGCCUAUAUUUGAAGGGAACGUCUCAAUAAAGAAGAAAAUACACCUGU